rnacentral:rRNA from 1 species
CUUACACAUGCAAGUCGAGCGGUAACAUUUCUAGCUUGCUAGAAGAUGACGAGCGGCGGACGGGUGAGUAACGCGUAGGAAUCUGCCUAGUAGCGGGGGACAACAUGUGGAAACGCAUGCUAAUACCGCAUACGCCCUACGGGGGAAAGGAGGGGAUCUUCGGACCUUUCGCUAUUAGAUGAGCCUGCGUGAGAUUAGCUAGUUGGUGGGGUAAAGGCCUACCAAGGCGACGAUCUCUAGCUGGUCUGAGAGGAUGAUCAGCCACACUGGGACUGAGACACGGCCCAGACUCCUACGGGAGGCAGCAGUGGGGAAUAUUGGACAAUGGGCGCAAGCCUGAUCCAGCCAUGCCGCGUGUGUGAAGAAGGCCUUAGGGUUGUAAAGCACUUUCAGGAGUGAGGAAGGGUGUACGGUUAAUACCCGUAUAUUUUGACGUUAACUCCAGAAGAAGCAUCGGCUAACUCUGUGCCAGCAGCCGCGGUAAUACAGAGGGUGCGAGCGUUAAUCGGAAUUACUGGGCGUAAAGCGCGCGUAGGCGGUUUGUUAAGUCGGAUGUGAAAUC